rnacentral:rRNA from 1 species
GACGUAGGGCGCGAGCGUUGUCCGGAUUUAUUGGGCGUAAAGGGCUCGUAGGCGGCUUGUCGCGUCGACUGUGAAAACCCGUGGCUUAACCGCGGGCCUGCAGUCGAUACGGGCAGGCUAGAGUUCGGUAGGGGAGACUGGAAUUCCUGGUGUAGCGGUGAAAUGCGCAGAUAUCAGGAGGAACACCGGUGGCGAAGGCGGGUCUCUGGGCCGAUACUGACGCUGAGGAGCGAAAGCGUGGGGAGCGAACAGG